rnacentral:rRNA from 1 species
AUUGAACGCUGGCGGCAUGCCUAACACAUGCAAGUCGAACGGGGCAGCAAUGCCUAGUGGCGGACGGGUGAGGAAUACGUAGGAAUCUGCCCUUAAGUGGGGGAUAACCAGGGGAAACCCUGACUAAUACCGCAUGAUCUCUUCGGAGCAAAGAGGGGGACCGCAAGGCCUCUCGCUUCUGGAUGAGCCUACCUCUGAUUAGCUAGUUGGUAGGGUAAGGGCCUACCAAGGCGACGAUCAGUAACUGGUCUGAGAGGAUGAUCAGUCACACCGGAACUGAGACACGGUCCGGACUCCUACGGGAGGCAGCAGUGGGGAAUAUUGGACAAUGGGCGCAAGCCUGAUCCAGCAAUGCCGCGUGUGUGAAGAAGGCCUUCGGGUUGUAAAGCACUUUAGCCUGGAAAGAAAAAACUUUGGUUAACACCCAAAGUCUUGACGGUACCAGGAGAAUAAGCACCGGCUAACUCUGUGCCAGCAGCCGCGGUAAUAC